rnacentral:lncRNA from 1 species
UUACUUUUUUCUUAAAGAUAUUUAUAUUUGAUAAGUCUUUUUUUUAUCAUUUGAGAAUUCCAAAUACCAAACAGCAAACUUGCAUUACAGAGUCACCCUGCGAUCACCUUGUCAUCUAGUAUCUAAAUGAUGAACUGUGUGUGCAUCUAAGAAAAUUACAUCUGCUAGCAUUGUGUGGAAAUGAUCUCCUGGCAUCCUGAUAAAAUGAUAUGUUGCUGCCGGUAAGAGGAAACGUUUUGAUGGAAGCAGCACGAGAAGCGUUAGAGACGGGCAGGGCUGUGGUACAUUAACAGAGAACAAAUUAAAAACCUACGGAAAUUUUUGUAUAGAGACACGUAUAUAAAAGUUUGCAUAGCGUUUCCUCCACAUUCCGCUUUGUCUUCCCAGUUCGUGUGGGAAUAGCUUAAAGAGAGAAAAACAGCUCAAGGAUGGGUUUCCCUUUGCUCCCCUCCACUUUUGAGGUGGAGCUAAGGGAAAUUCCUGUUACUUGCCUUGUUCUCAUCCCUUCCUCCCUCUUAACCCUCAGAGAGCUUCGUGACCGCUCCAGCGUGGCUCCUCAGCAGGUUUUGAGCCAGGCUGAGCCCUCCAGAUCAGCUGCCCCUCUUCUGUCCAUGGGGAGCAAACUGCUCCCCCACGUGCCGAGGAGAUCCUGUGCUCUCAGAGGGCACCGCCGUGCCACCCCUUUGUCCCUGGAAGAUCUAUAGGUAGGGCUUGGCCUCGCCUCCCACUUAUGGAUUUCAUUGGAGAAUUUAUGUGCUUUCCUUAGUUACAGAUCACUGGAGCAGAAUGAAGCCGUGUUUUUUUCCUGUUUUAUUGCAUUUCUUGAGUAGGCAAAUUCAUAAGUAGCGUCAGGGUGGACUCAGGAAAGGCAGGACUUGGAUCAGUGACCAUUGCACCACUGCAGUUAUUUUCUUACUGCCUGUAUGAAUGUUUUGGUACUUAGGAGUGAAAGGAUGGGAAGAGCUUUUAUUUCUAUUUUUGCACAGCAGAAUGAUCGAGCAAACUCGGCCUUAGUGGAAUUUUACCUACUUACUCAUUCCACAAGCUCAGUCACACACUGAGCUGACAAGCAACAUCCACGAUUUAUAGUAAGGAGAUUUUAAUAAUCGAUGACCUCUUUACAUUGGGCUUGCCACCACCAUUUGUUCUGGCUGUUUCAUUUUAAGAAGAACAGACUCAAACUGUUGGACAGCUGCAAUUCUAGAAGAAAUAUUGCUUAUUGCUUACUAUAGUAUCUGUAAAAAAAACAAAGGCAUUGUUUGAGGCUUUGCCUUUUUAAAGCAACAGGGAAGAAUAAAAAUAGUAUUAGAACUUCUGUAUCCUGAUUAUAGGUUCAUGUGAUGCAGGAUCAAAGUAGCACCACUGAAAUUGUGUGUCUGUACCAUCUAAUGUAGAAUAAUCUGGUCUUAAUUCUGUUUGUCACUGUCAGGAAUCUGCUGACAUCCCACGUCAGUAUCUUCUCUGAAGGUUAAACAGGUAAAAAAACCCUUGUGAGCAACUGGAGAUUGGCAGAUCUUCCUGGGCUGUAAAUACCCAGUUUUCUACCUUCCCAUAUUGUCAUCUUAGCAGACAAAAUAUCAAAUAUCUGGGGAAUCAACCCCUUGGUUCUGUGGGGUCAGUGUUUGGGGUGUGUCUGUUCUGGCUUCUCUUUGGGCAUCGGGAGGUACGAGGAACGAGUGGCACCUCAGAGGAACGAGUGACACCUCAGCUGUCCCCAGGCAGCCCAACCUGCUCCUGGCAGGUUGUUUCCAUCAUUCUGGAAGUUCAUCAGGAGCCAUUUGCAGCUGGUCAAUGCCUUUUUGGUUUGAGGUGAAUUACCUGUAACGGGACAGGUGCUGAUGUGAUGGUACCGAGAUGAGCGAAUGUGAUCUGGAGUAAGUGAAAGAAUCGGUGGAGGGUGAGUCCUGGAAUUCAGCAGUCCUGGAAUUCUUUCUUUUGGGGGUUUUUCCAUGGUAUGGGAGUUGUCUUUGUCUUUCUGUGUGUGGGCUGCCUUGGAAAUGAAGCCUCAUUUUGGUAGCACUGCAAUGGAGUGGCAGUUCGUUGUGGCCAGGCUGGAGUCACUGCAGUUUGUUCUCUUCCCGUGAAGUGGCUCUGGUGGCACAUCCGAGCUACCUUUUUGUUCUGUGAACAGAGAAGAAGUUAAUUUAAGAAGCUCCUCAUCUGUGAUGGUCACAGAUUGCUUUUACCUUUGUGGAGUGAGUUCUGGGUGAUAAUUUGUCCCUCAUAAACUCCUUUUACUUGAGUUGUUGUCUCUGACCAUCUUCUUAAAACAACAAUUUCUACCUCCACUGCUCUUCUGGAUUGUUUUGGUGUUGGGUUUUUCUUUAGUUCCCCCACCAUUUUUCCUGAAGUAUGAGAUCCCAAACAUUUGCAAAAGCCUUAUGAGUUGAUAAAAAUCAGCAGAUUUGUUUUCUGUUGAUCUUCUGAAUACCCUAUAGACACACGUGUGGUUAUAGCGAAGUCCUGUGCUGGGUGUGAGUCUGAAGUGCACCCUUGCAGCAAUUAAGGAAUCUCAUUAAGAGCCUUCAGGAGGUCAUGGAAAGGGUUUAGACCCCUCUGUGCAUCAUUUGUGGGGCCAUUGCGUGGGCAGAUGGUAGGGCUGGAGCCCAUUCACACAGUGGGAGAUUGCAGGAGCUGGGAUUGUCCAGGCUGGCUCUGGGGACAUCCCAGAUUUUGGGUUUUAACUGUUUUAAUGAAUUAGUUUUAACUUGGGGGUCCAGUGCAGGAUCAGGAGUUGGACUUUGAUGAUCUUUGUGGGUCCCUUCCAACUCAGGAUGUUCUGUGAUUCCAGAGAAGACAGAGCCAGGCUCUUCUCAGAGGUGCCCAGCAAAACCCUGAGGGGCAGAGGACUAGAGCUGCAUGAAGGAAAAUCCCAGAUGAAUUUAAAUAGAAGUGUUUUCAUGCUCAGUGGUAGAAAUGGCCCAGAAAGUCAGUGAAAUUCCCAUCCUUGGGGAUACUCAAAAUUCAACUGGAUGGACAGGGUUGGAUUAGAGACCUCCAGAGGUCUCUUCUGACUGAAAUUAUUCUCUGAUUCUGUGCAAACCUGCUCAGGCUGAGGUGUUCCCUA